CAGAAUGGCUGAAAUAAAAAAUGAAAGUAAGAACACUCCAUCUUGGGAGAUAGAAAAUAAGGUCCCAUUGACUGCCAGUGGAGAAUGGACUUUAUCAUUUCUAACACAUUUCUGAAAGAACAACUCCGGAUGAAAAAUACGUCAUAUUACA